rnacentral:rRNA from 1 species
GACGAACGCUGGCGGCGUGCUUAACACAUGCAAGUCGAGCGGAAAGGCUCCUUCGGGGGUACUCGAGCGGCGAACGGGUGAGUAACACGUGCGUAAUCUGCCCUGGACUCUGGGAUAGCCACCGGAAACGGUGAUUAAUACCGGAUAUGACCCUCCACCGCAUGGUGUGUGGGUGGAAAGUUUUUUCGGUUCAGGAUGUGCUCGCGGCCUAUCAGCUUGUUGGUGGGGUAAUGGACCACCAAGGCUUUGACGGGUAGCCGGCCAGAGAGGGUGACCGGACACACUGGGACUGAGACACGGCACAGACUCCUACGGGAGGCAGCAGUGGGGAAUAUUGGACAAUGGGCGGAAGCCUGAUCCAGCAACGCCGCGUGAGGGAUGACGGCCUUCGGGUUGUAAACCUCUUUCAGUACCGACGAAGCGCAAGUGACGGUAGGUACAGAAGAAGGACCGGCCAACUACGUGCCAGCAGCCGCCGUAACAC